CUGACCCCAUGCCGAACUCAGAAGUGAAACGCCGUAGCGCCGAUGGUAGUGUGGGGUCUCCCCAUGCGAGAGUAGGACACUGCCAGGCA
rnacentral:rRNA from 1 species